CUGUUCCUCAGUUUUGCCGGAGUCAAAGCGGUGGAAAGCAGCAAAGGCAGGGAUUGUUUGAUUCCCAGCAUUUUAUCUCCGAGUCACCUGAUCCUGUGUCCUAUGCUGCAAAGAGGAUCCUGGGUUUGAAGGUCCUGCUUCUCUUUCAAGAUAUACAAGCAUUGUGCACCAAAAUUGAAUUUCCAUGAUGGUGGACUGUAUAUUGUCAAGAGAAUUGAUUCUACUACUCACCAAUAAUGCUGUGACUCCUGCAAAACUGAGGAGCAGUCUGCCUGUUCUGGGCAAUUGUACAUCCGGGCUUUGGUUAUACCAGGUUCUACUGUGAGACCUGGACUAUAGCCAGAGCCUGACUGGAAAGAACCCACAGUGCUGUCGCUUUUAUUAUCACUCCUGGGCUCUGAUGGUAGGAGUGUGUGCGUUCAAAGUGAGCAGGAAAUAAGGACCAAUCUAAGAGUGUGCUGCAGCAGAAGAAGUGAAAUUGAAAGUGAAUGAGAGGAGAAAUUGUCACUUACCCUGGGCUGUGACUCCAAUUGAUAAAUUGAAAAAGAACAACUUCUGGCAAAUAGUGCUUCAUCCUGUAUUUGGCUGCUGGGGCACAGUACCUGGCCACCUACCUGACAGACUUGUGCCUUCUUUUAUGUUUCCUGGCUGACAAUUAUUCUUAUUGGUCUAAUUUUCUGAUUUGCCAAGUAAACCUCCCCAAUGAUUAAGUGCUUGACUAUUAGCUCUCUUCAUAUACAUUUAAAUUCUUUCUGUCU